rnacentral:rRNA from 1 species
AUGGCCAACCAAACCGCCUCAUACGUGCUCCUGGCUCUGUGCCUGCUCGUGCUCGUGGCGAGGCACGCCGAGGGGAGGCAGCCCCGGCUCGUCCCCGCGAUCUUCGUGUUCGGCGACUCCACCGUCGACGUCGGCAACAACAACUUCCUGGGCGGCACGCGCAAGGAGGGCAGGGCCAACUUCCCGCAGUACGGCGUGGACUUCCCGACCUCCAAGCCCACCGGCCGGUUCAGCAAUGGCUUCAACACGGCAGACCGGCUAGCUCAAUUCCUUGGCUUCCCCCUGAGCCCGCCGGCGUACCUCUCCCUGAAUAGGCGUACCGUCAGAUCACAGAUGUUUAAGGGCCUCAACUUCGCUUCAGCGGGGUCCGGACUUGGGGAUCACACCGGCCGCUCAGUGGUUGGUGAAGUCAUCCCGAUGACCCAGCAGGUGGAGUCCUUCGCGACGGUUGUCAAGCACAUGUACCAGAGUUCAGGCUCGAGGAGAACGGCCAGUCUCCUCUCCAAGUCCAUCUUCUUCAUCAGUACCGGCAGCAACGACAUGUUCGAGUACUCUUUCUCCCGCAGCAACGACAGGAAGUUCUUGGCCAGUCUCGUCGCCGCCUACAAGGACUAUCUGAAGGCACUGUACCAUCUGGGCGCGAGAAAGUUCAGCAUCGUCAGCAUCCCGCCGCUGGGCUGCACUCCGUCGCAGAGGCUGCGCCGGCUGGAGCAGAUGGGCACGCAGGGCUGCUUCGACCCACUCAACGAUCUCUCGCUCCGGUCAUACCCGCUGCUGGCCGCGAUGAUGGAGGAGCUGGCCCACGAGCUGCCUGGCAUGGCCUACUCCCUUGGAGACGCCUUCACCAUGGUCUCCUUCGUCUUCGCCAACCCACAGACGCCCGACUGGAGCUUCACGGAGCUUGAGGCGGCGUGCUGCGGCGAGGGGCCGUUCGGGGCGUCAGGGUGUAACCAGACGGUCCCGCUGUGCGGCAACCGCGACAGCUACCUGUUCUGGGACGCCAACCACCCGACGCAGGCCGUGUCCACCAUCGCCGCGGAGACGCUGUUCGCCGGCAACCCCACGUUCGUCAACCCCAUCAACGUCCUCCAACUGACCAAGCUGUGA